rnacentral:sRNA from 1 species
AGCAGCCGCGGUAAUUCCAGCUCCAAUAGCGUAUAUUAAAGUUGUUGCAGUUAAAAAGCUCGUAGUUGAAUUUCGGGAUCAGUAUGUUGGUCGUGCUUCGGUACGUACUGUCAUUACUGGUUUCUACCUUCUGAAGAACCAUGAUGUCAUUAAUUUGGUGUCUUGGGGAAUCAGGACUGUUACUUUGAAAAAUUAGAGUGUUUAAAGCAGGCUCGCGCUUGAAUACAUUAGCAUGGAAUAAUGAAAUAGGACGUUUUGAUCCUAUUUUUGUUGGUUUCUAGGAUCGACGUAAUGAUUAAUAGGGAUAGUUGGGGGCAUUAGUAUUCAAUUGUCAGAGGUGAAAUUCUUGGAUUUAUUGAAGACUAACUACUGCGAAAGCAUUCGCCAAGGAUGUUUUCAUUAAUCAAGAAC